UUCCUUUAACGAAAAUAAUGUGGUCAUCCUAGAAGAACUUCAAAAGAUUGCGGCCAACCUAGAAGAACUUCAAAAACAAAGAAUCAAAAGGUUGUGUCUCGCUCUCACAUAAAUUCAACACAAUGCGCACAAUAUAUCUGCUUUCCUUACAAUGAGAUAUAUUCAUUUGGUCAUCAUUUUUUAUGUGAAUUGUAAAUAUUGAUGAUCCAACAUUGAAACAUCACUCAAUUUGCUAAUUGAGUAUUCUGCAU
rnacentral:lncRNA from 1 species